rnacentral:rRNA from 1 species
GAUGAACGCUGGCGGCGUGCUUAACACAUGCAAGUCGAACGAUGAAGCCCAGCUUGCUGGGUGGAUUAGUGGCGAACGGGUGAGUAACACGUGAGUAACCUGCCCUUGACUCUGGGAUAAGCCCGGGAAACUGGGUCUAAUACCGGAUAGGAGCGCCUGUCGCAUGACGGGUGUUGGAAAGAUUUUUCGGUCAUGGAUGGACUCGCGGCCUAUCAGCUUGUUGGUGAGGUAAUGGCUCACCAAGGCGACGACGGGUAGCCGGCCUGAGAGGGUGACCGGCCACACUGGGACUGAGACACGGCCCAGACUCCUACGGGAGGCAGCAGUGGGGAAUAUUGCACAAUGGGCGGAAGCCUGAUGCAGCGACGCCGCGUGAGGGAUGACGGGCCUUUCGGGUUGUAAACCUCCUUUCAAGUAAGGG